UUUAGAUUCUCAUCGCCAUUUUUAUUCUGUUGUGGCCAUAACAACAGUCAUUAUGAGGUCAACGAUCUGUGUUCGUUUGAAUUUCCAUGAUGACAGACAGGCCUGCAUAGCGAGCUUGUGCAGCUUAAAAUUCAGGCUCUAUUGCCUGUUAAUCCUUAGUUUGAACAAUUUUGAAUGGUGUGAUCUGUUUGCAUUGGUUGUAUUCGUUGGUCUAGGAGUUUAUAGGCCCGCAAUGCGUGUACGUUUCAGAGGGAAGGACUGCACUUCAAGUGCGGAAGUGGAAUCUACUCGUUUUUAAACAGUACCGGCAAAUUCAUUCUCUGUUUUGUAAAAUGUCGCCCAGAAUAAUGUGUACUCUUUGUGUUUCUCAAUCCUUUCAGUCUUAGAACUGGCCCGGUAAUGAGUUAACUACAAAGCAGGUUCAAGAUGCCAUAUUCAGUUAUUGCAUCGUGGUGGUUCUGUCUGGGGAGCCAAAAGUUUCUUUCUCAUUUUUUUUCCUCUUACAAUUGACAGUGCUAAUGAAAAGAACUUUAAGUGCCAAAA